UCUUCUUCCACAAGGGGGUCACGGCAUUUGUUUCCAGGCGGACCAUUAAAGAAAGCGACACACACGUCUCCCAGAAAUCCAUUAGAAUUCAACCAACCAGAUGAUGAUGAUUUAAAAAAUCCUGAAGUGUUUCCAGGGGCGGUCACACUGCACUUUUCGUUCCAUUGACUUCCAUUCAAACGCAUGCGAAUGCGUCAGACCGGAAACGCAAGCUCGUGCGAAGAAUUUCGCAUUUCGCUGCGUUCCAAAGUUCAAGUUUGGUGAACUCUGACCUGCGAAUUCGCAUCACAUGAAGACGUGCGACCAGUAGAAGAUCGAUUCGUCACGGCAUGACCUCUUGGCUGAAUUAAAAGAAUUAUAUUUUUGCAGUAAAGUCGAGUAGGUUCUAUAUUUUUACAUUUUGAAUGUAUUGCUUUAAGUUAUGUGUUGAAUUCAUGUUUAUAAAAAAGACGUUGUAGACCGUGACGUCAUAUCACGACCGUUACAGCAUCCGAAUAAAUUUCGCACGUUCAAAGUCUAGUGUGACCGCGCCUGUGUGCCAUAUGCAUCAGACAUUCAGUUAUCGAUCAGUGGGUGUGAUGUCUGAGGCUGAGACUAUCCACAACCUAACCAUAACCUGCCCAUAAACAAACGAUCCUUCCAGUGUGUGUUUAUAAGGGUCUGUGGCAGAUCUGUUCUUCUCAGUGGGAUAGUUCCCCUGCAGCACUGAUGUGUUCAGCAUUCAUAACAGAAGACACAGACAGGCCACCUUCUCUGUCAACACGAAUUAUUCAUGAAGCUAUUCCAGCCAUCAGCCCCCACCGUAGCAGAACACAAGCUGAUGCUAGACCUGAAGGUCAGAUCUGAAGGAGUUAAAGGACAUCGGUGAACAAACGUGUCUUUGUCCUUUUAUCUGUACCGCAGCGCUGCAGGUUUUAUAACAAUCAUACAGUAUGUACUUCUUACGUAACUCACUAGUGUUAAAUGAAACACUACCUAUUGUACAAAUUGCAGUUCUGCUCUUUUACCAAAUGCAUUGUCCGUAAA